GAUUAUGGGUAUAAGAUCAUCUAUCGAAGGGUCUGAAAGGAACAGGUAAAUGAAUAUGGAAACGGGUUAGAGAAGGCAAGGUUUGGUGAAUGUGAAAGCUAUGUGAAUAUUUUAAAAGGGCAAAAUUCAAAGAACAAGUCAAUUGCCAAUGAAGAAUAGUAUGGGGAGGGUACUUUUCUUUGAAUGCAAUAAUGGGUUGAAAUGGAUAGGAUAUAAUGAAUCUGUUCAACUGGGAAAGAAGAAAAUGGGCAUAUAUAAAGAUCAAGAAGAGAGCGGAAGGGCAAAAGGGGUUGAUCUAUGUGUCAAGCUGACGUAGGAAAUGAAGUCCUUAUCCAUGGUGGUGAAUUUUGGAGGCGAAGUGUCACCUGGCAAUUUUUGAUUUCUCUAGGAGCCAAGUCCUUUUGAGGUGUGGACAAUAGAAAGGGAGAGAUUUGGAGAGUUAUCCGACCCUUGGGAGUUGGGUUGGUGACUCUGUCCAAGCCUUUUCUCGCAGAGAAUCUUUUAAGAUUUUCAAAGGAUAUGCCUCGUCUUUCCUGUUAUUCACUUGAGGCCUAGUUUAAGUUAUACUAUUCCAAAUUGUCCCUCAAACUAUGAAUUUCAACAUGCUACUCCUUAUCUAUAUUUAGAUUAGGUUGUUACAUGAAUUUAUCUUGAAAAUCACUUAAAUAGAUGAGUUAGAAAACUUAUGUCCUAAGUAAUUUCCACUAGGAUUUACAUUAUUGUAUAUGAAUUCUGUUAUUUUAUUGUGCGCUUAUAUAAAAAGAAGAACGUUGAAUCUUUUUUCUCUCUAUAACAGGGUUUCGAUUACUUGGUCACAAAAGUGUACGAUCGUUUCAAUAGCAAACUAAGAUGUAGCUAUAUUCCCUUACUUUCUUUUACCACAUUUUUUUUGAAAAAUUGGAUCAGUUAACUUAUAAUUAUUACAAGUGAAUUCUAUUGAAAAUAAUAGGAGAAAAUUUUAAAAAAAAUUAAUCUUCACAGACAAGCCUUUUAUCUCUUAUUUACGUCUCCCAACCAUAUCAUAUUAUUUACCUCUAUGGUUAGAUUUAACUAUUUCUUCUCAUGAGGGAUUACUACUACAUAGAGUGAGAUUUUUGUAUUCUUUUUCUACAUAUUUGACGUGACUGGAUGUUUUGUGAUGCCGCCAAAUAUCCUGAAAAGUUAUUAUGCAUGUAAAAAUAUCAUAUUAUCAUUAAAAAAUAAUAAACGUAAAAUGCUACCAUUUUUUGGUAAUUUUCCAAGUGUUUUUGUUGGAUUUUUAACGUAUUACAUAAGAAUUGCUCGCUAGUGUUUCAUUGUUGUACAUAAAAAUUUUUCACCUUAAUGAAUUCAAUCCAAUGAAAGAACAAAAAAGAAAAAGCCAUCAAUUAGGGUAGAAAUUAUUUGAAAUGAUCGAGACGAAGAGCAGCAAUAACAAAACAAUUGGGGUUAAAGGUAGAAAACGUAAAAUCAGAGGGCGAAAUCAAAAUCGAGUGAAACAAAAGUGCUGAUGUGGAAGAAUUUGGUGACGUGUAUUUUUGUCAUCCAGUAAAACAAACAGUGUCUAUCCAAUAAAUGAAUUAAUUACAAAAAAAAAAAAAAAAAAAAAAGCAAAGGAGCUCGAGGUCGAGGCAAAUACCCUGUGGCUUCUCAUCCGCUGCCGGUGGGCGCGGUCUGGAUUUGACGUCAUCAAGCUAAUUUUCUGUAACUGUCAUUUGAAGAUGGUGGAUAAGGAUUCUCUGGUACUCUGAACACGUGUCUAUCAUGCACCGCUGCAUCAGUCCUUGAUGAUCUAGGAUCCACAUUCCACACACUUGAAGCCCCAUUUCCAGGAAAAUUCGACUUUUCAAAAGCUGUGCAGCCCUUUGAAGUUCUGAAAUUGAAAAAUCAAUUUUUUGAUUACUCAGUCGCAAUGGUCAACAGCAGAAGAGAAAACGAAAGGAAAGGUAAACGAAUCAAUUAAUAGUGGUUAAACUGAUCAAGUAAAGUUGCAAUUGACAUGUUAAAUUGUAGUACAAUAUUAAAAAGUGGGUUCUUCUAUUUUGUUUCCCAAAGACAAAGAGCGUAUUCAACAACCUCUCUAGUUGUUUGCAAAAGUUUCCAUUUUUAAGCUGAAGUUUACAUAAUUCAGGUGGUAAAUAUUUGAAAUUCACAUUUUUAAGCUGAAGUUUACGUAUCUGGCAUCAUGCUUUUUUACCAACUUAGGUUCAAACCUCUCGUGGAACAUUUGUCCAUUGCACAGGACCUGUAUAAUGCGUUUUAUCCAUCCGUGUGAUUGAUAGGUUAUUGCAUGAGAUGGGAUUUAUCCGGUGCGCAGUUUUGGAUAACCAAUUUGAGUUCCCUUGUCACAAAAUAAAAAUAAAAAAGUAAUCGGUAACAAUUACUUGAUCCGGUCCUUUCUCUUAAAUUGUGGCUUUCAUUUGAGAUCAGAGAAAAUCUUUUACUUUUACCUUUUUUUUUACUCAAUUUGAUGAGAAGAAAAUUUUUUUUUACUACAGUAGCUGCAAGCCUACAAUAUGAAUCUACCCUUAGGAUAUACUGUACAUUGGUUCUUACUUUUCCAUGGAUGUCUCUUUAUGCAUAGUGACUUCAAUAAUUCGAAUUGACUUUUAUCUCUCUUCUCGAGUUAGUUAUAAGUUAUUAGCCUUUAAUAAAAUAAGGGCAAAUUUUAUAUUUUUAUUUUUUCAACGUUUUCGUAAGACCACAUUGAAUUCGAUAAAGGAGCGUGGACCACAAAAGCGUUCCGUAAACUAAAAGCCAUCUCUUGUGUAGACCGCGUGGUCCGAACUGCAGAAGUGAACUUGGUCCAAGACACAAAAACCCAUGCAUGUCUCCUUGUAGUUGUCUCGUCCAAACAAAAAUAAUUUUCACGUGUAUUUUACUAAGUCCUGAGUUAACGCGACAAGUCUAGUUGAUAAAACAUCUUAACAGGUCAUGAGUUUAACUCAUCAAGAAAGUGAGUUGGAAUCACCGUUGAUCAUCUUUUUAAUAAUUAAAAAAAAGUCAUACUCACAAAGAAGAAUUAAGCAAAACUACAAGGAACUUUCGAAGAAUGAAGCAAAAACAAGAAAAAGAAGAAAAGUUUUCAUACUCACAAAGAAGGAAUUAGGAGAGCAUCAAGUUUAGAAUUAAUCAUUUGUACUCAAGGUAGAUAUCCACCUACAUUUUCAACGCAGCAAGUAUGAAAGUUAGGUAAUAUAAAUACGUAGAUCUCAAGGAACCACCAUUAGGAAGUUGAGAGGAAAAAAAUGGCAUACAAAACAAAGUACAGUAUGGUCUAAAAAAAUGCGUCGAAUUUGACUAUCAAUCAAUUCAAAAAAAAAAAAAAAAAAGACUAUCAUCAAUUGCUUCCUACUGUAUUUUGGUUAUGCUGAGUUAUGAUGGUCCAAACUCCAUGUUAAUAUCAUGCAAAACAAAGUCCUAGGACUAGAGAAACUAAGGAACUUUUAUAGUAGAACAAAACGCAAAUUGCAAGUGGUACAAUUUACCAAUAAAACGCUAAGAUAUUUCUUCCAUCACCUAGUCGGCAGAGGUAGGUAGUAGUGUUUUGUGCAUUCAUGGUAGAUGUUCUUAAUUGUGUGAGGUGGGUAGCUUUUGACUUUUGAACGGAUUUAUAUGUUAGAGAGGACUCUUCCUUUUCCUGGUAGUUGAUGCUACGACAAAAUUCCAUCGGAUUGGCUUUCAAUACAUGGAUUAUGAUCAGGUUAAAUCUAAAUAAUGUUUUCUGCACUCGUGUUUCAGUCUUUGUACCUUAGCUUUAUGAUGGAAUGGGGUUUUGCUAACAUUUCCUCUCUAUGUAUAGCAAUGGAGAACCUCUGAAUUAGAAGCAGGAUUCCAUUCUUGAUGAUAAACGUACGUAAGGACAUUUUUUAUUGGUGAGUGCUCCAAAUUUUUUGUGCGAAGUAGCAGAAGCAUUUCUGUUACACAGGCAAAAUUAGGUUAUAUGUUUUCCAAAUUUGGCGUCAUAAACUACAGAUGGUUACGAUAGUUAGAGGGAAAGGCUAGUUACAGCUAAUCUGCUUGUAAAAGAUUGAAAAUUCUUAAUUCUAGAAAAAAAAAAAAGAAAAAAGCUUCAUCUCGUUCUUGCUAUACUUAUGUAUAGUGCACUAAUACUUUGUGCAUCCUAUUGUACCAUAUUCUAAUCUGUUAUUUGAGAAAUUCGGUUUUUGAUGUAUGUAAUUCAUCAAGAUUAUGUCCAAGAAUUCUUUUUGUCCCAAAGCGUGAAAAGCCAGCAACUUUUUUCCCUUUUAUCUUGCCCUUGAAGCGGAUUUGGUCCCUUAGGUUCUGCAUCUCUCCGUUCACCCUUUAAACAUCCACAUCUAUAAUACUUUCUUCGCAGCAAAAGCUUAGCUCCCAAAAAAAAAAAUGAAAAAAGUGAGAUUGACAGUUUUGGUAUGUGAAAGUGGACCUCAAUAUCGCGAUCAGAUCGUUGGUUAAUGGCAUUCCUGUUCACGCCUACUGAAAACUGAACUCUCUCAUCCAUUGGUUUAUCAAUGUUAUGAUAUGGUUUGCCUUAUUAAUUAUAUAUCUGUUUGCAUGUCAAGACUCAAGCCAACAAGUAGAGGAUUCAUUAGCUCGACGUACCGCUGCGUGGAGAAUUGGAUAUGCAGUGGCAUGCAGAGGCAAAUUUAGGUUAUAUUUGACUUGAAAUACUUAUUAGAAGCCGCAAAUGGCAAUAUAGGCAAAAGAGCUGAUGAUAGUCGAAAAGGGAGAACAAUCUAAAAUUGUGUGUGAGAAAUACCAAAAACACACUUGAGAGACCAGAAAUUAUUCCGAGUGCCACAGUUAUAGAGCUUUAUAUAUCUAACUAAAUGUAUGUUAUCUAAAAUGAGACAUAAUGGACGGUGUAAGUCAAGAUGAUACUCCAAUGCUUCACAUAAUAUUACUUUUCUAUUUAUCAGAAUUACAUUUACGUUGACAGAAGCAGAAUUUUUUUCCUGACAUGCAAGUUUCCUGUCUAAGAUUCCUGGCAAAAGUGCAUGCGUCCAAAUAAUCACUAGCAUAGCAAGAAACAGAAUAAAACAGCAGUUCUCCAGUUUCCUAUUUAAUCAGUGAGAAGUGAGAACCAUCAAUCGAUGCAACUUUAGGACGAGGGGAAUCAAAUAGUCGUAGUUGUUGUUGUUUUUGUUGAGAGAGAUGGGGUAAAUGAUGAGAUCAAUGUCUUGAUAAAGAAAUAUUUGGACAUGAGAUUAUUUGAAAUAUUAUUUAAAAUAAGUAUUAUAGUAUAUAUUUUUGGAAUACAAUGUAUGUGAGAUAAAAAAUUAAUUGAAAUAAUAAAAAGUUGUUUGAAAAUUGUGUUUGCAAUAAUUUUAUUAUCCAAACAUUCCGUUAGUUUCGUGAGUAAAGAAUUAUGUCCCACAUUAGUUCGAGAUGUAAAGAAAGAGCGGUUAAUAUGUAAGUAAGAACUCAAAAUUUAAUAGUUUAAACUUUUGAGUCAGAGUUGAAUUCUUGACUUAUAUAUUGGACUCUUUGAUCGGGUCUAUAGAGGUGUUUUUCCCUAACAAAUGGUAUUAGAGCUUCUAGUUGCAAGAUUAAAUUACUCAUGGGCAAGUGAAUUUGGACUCUUUGAUGGACUCUCUCGAAAUGUUUCUCUCUAACAAGUGGUAUCAAAGUUUCUAAUUGUAAGAUUAGGUUAUUCAUAGGCAAGUGGAUUUUUUUGGUGAAAAUUCUCUUUUUGGUGGUGCGAAACUGGGUUACUCAUGAGCAAAUGGAUUCUUCUUGUAAAAAUUCUUUUCUUGAUGGUAGAUCAAAGUGUUAAGGAAUUUGGUUACGAAAUUGAGUUGCAUGGGCAAGUGGAUUCUUCCGGUGAAAAUUCUCUUUUUGGUAGUGGAUUGAAGUGUUAAGGAGUUUAGUUCCGAGACUAAAUUACUGAUGGGCAAAUGAAUUUUUCUCACAAUUGAGCCGAUGAAUAUUUUUUCUUGGUGGUGAACAGAAGUGUUAAGAAAUUUGGUUCCUAUUGAAUCAAGUGCACCAUGAGUUUGACAAGAGGUUCAGUACUUUUAGACCAAAGAGUCAAGAGUUGGCAGGGGUCUAGAAUUUAGCUUGGACGUUAAAGAAAAAUGGAUCCAUAAUUGGAAGAAUAGAUGACUUUAAGUGUUAAGGUGAGUUUGCAUGGAGUAUUAAAGUGGCAGAGCCAAGGGUUGGUAGGGGUCAAAAUCCAAUUUGGAUGUUGAAAAAUAGUGGAUCCAUGAUUAAGAGAAGAUCAUCUCAAGUUGGAUGCUGUGAGAGGUUACUCACAAAGGGUUGUAAACUUAGGUUUAAUAGAAGAGGUUACUCGUGAAGGUUUGGAUGCUGAAAAAAAGUGGGUCUGUGAUUGAGAGAAGAGAUGACUUUAGGUGUUAAAGUGGAUUGGGAGAACUGCACAAAUAGUCCCUCACAUAUUGCAAAUGUGAAAAUUUAGUCCCUCAGAUCAAAAAUGAUCAAUUUUAGUCCUUAUCAAAUAAAAAAUGAUCAAUUUGAGUCCCUUUUCAUUUUUCCGACUGAUUUUUGCCCGGAAUAUCUCACGCGCACACCACGUGGCCAACUUUUCAAGGGUAAAAAUGCCAAACCACUUAUCUGUUGACCAAAACCAAAAUGUAAAGGACGAAUACUUCCCGAAAUUCUUCUUCUUCUUCAUUUCAACCAAACCCAAAAGCUGAGCCUCAUCUCCAUGGCAGAACCACCAACUUGUAAUUGCGGUGUACCAGCUAGGGUGAAGACGUCAUGGACAACUGAAAAUCCAGGAAAGAGGUUCUAUGGUUGCGCUUACUACGAAGUAAGUGUGCCUGAUUUCUGUUUCUUUUUUCUUUUAGAAAAUGUGAAAUUUGAAGAGGUAAUUUUGAACAGCAUAAUGGUGGCGGCGGCUGUGGCUAUUUCAAGUGGUAUGAUACAAACAGUUGCGAGAGGUGCGAUAAAUUAGUGAGACACACAAGAAGAUUGGCGAAGAGAUUAAGAGAGUUGGAGGCAAAGAUGGAAGAAACAAGACGCAAGGAGAAAAUGAUGAAAUUGUUGCUGUUUGCGGCCUUUGUUGUAUUCAUAGUGCAGAAUUUAUUGAGCAAAGAUUGAGUUGUAACUGGCAUUUGUUGGUGCAGGCGGUGAACUGGGAACUGGGUGGCUUUUAUUUGUUGUACUUAGGUUGUGUUACGUUUAGUGGCCCUGUUGAUUGUACAAAUGGGAGUUGGAAUGCAAUUAUGAAGCUUAAGUUCUUUCUGGUAUAUUGUGAUUUUUUCUUGAAUAUGAGCUUACAGCAUAAGAUGGAAUAAAAGUCUAACUUAAAAGAUAAUGCAGAUGAUAAUGGCGAUAUUAUAAGCGAAGACCCUCAUGUUAGGGAAAAAUUUUCUUGAUCAAGUCCCAUAAGUUAAACCUCACCUGCUGAGAGGGAAUAAUGGUAUAGUAUAGGUUACAAAAAACAUUUCCAACUACAGGUUAAAAAAACACACUCGUGCAUAUCAAAUACAUUCUAAAGCCUAAAAUAUAUAUUUUUAAAAAAAAACUGUUUUAGGGUGGCUAUUAAAUAUUGGAAAGAGAGGAGGACAAGCAAACCACUAGAGUGAGCCAACAUGGCCGCAUGUUAAGUCUUAAUGCAGAGUUGGUAAGUAAAAGAAUUUGUCAAAACUGCUGCUAUACCGAAGCAGCAGCAGCAGGAGAGGGAAGAAAGUCGAAAGGGGAAGAAGGCAUUAACACAAGAUUUCAUAUUGCAGUCCACCAUGUCUAGUCAGCCAAAUAUGAGACCAACAACAUUAAAACCUGCCCUGCCAAAAACUUUUUAAGGGUUAAGCCAUAUCAGAACUUGGCAAGGUUUCAACAACAUUAACUAACUACUCAAUAUUUGUGUCAGUAAACAAAAUUGGAGACAACAUAAUUGUAUAUUCAUUCUUCAGUCCUGCCAAUGUCAUCUGCUGAGGGUUCAACUAACCAAUAAUCAGUCCUUUCAAAAAUAAGAAGAGCAUGCAUUCCAUUGCAAUGAAAAAAAACAGUACAUAACCGAGCCAAGUACAUUCAUUACAAUACGCCUGUUAUAAAAAAAAAAUGCAAUGAACUAAGAAAUCAAUUCCAUUGCUCCAAAAAAAGGUCUGCUGAAGUCAAAUACAAGACAAAAAGGCGAAAAAUAAUCCAUUUGCAGCACUCUUUUGUGGAUUCUUUAUUAUAUCCACCAUUUGCAGCACUCUUUUGUAGAUAUCUUUGCAGUCAUCCCUCUUUGCAAUAACAGGCCAGUCAUCUAGGCCUUUUUAGCCCUCUUUGCAGCACUUUUAGAAGUAGAUAUAUUUGCAGUAUUCUUGGGCCUCUGAUACAAACAAAACAAUGAAGAGGCCAUUACUUACAGUCAAUAGCAAUUUUUGCAGUCUUAAAAGUAGAUAUCUUUGCAGUCUCUUUAGACUAUGCAUGUAGUAGACAAUACUUACAGCCAAUCCAGGUGGUUCCCAUGGGUGUCUCUUAUAGAGAGAGGCCAAUGUUGAAUCACAACUACUUCGAGUGUGUCCAAAUCUCCGACAUACACCACAUCUGUACUUGACUUUCUUACCCUAACAAUUGGCAACCAGAAAUUCAAGUAAAUAAAUAAUAGUAUAGAAAGAAGUCAACAUGCUAUUAUUAGUAUGAACAAGUAGAGAAACAUGAACUGGAGAUGUUGCAUUCUUUGUUGUCAAUGUUGAAGUAGGUGGUUGGCUGGUUGUAGGUUGAUCUGGGAUUUGACUGAUGAGAUCAAACAAGACUUGGUCAUUUGUAUCAGUCUCCAAGCCACUUGCACCAAAAACUGCUUCAGGUGUGAAAUUGGACUGCUGAGGUUGGGACUGCUUGUUUGCACCAGGAUUCAUAGUGUUGGGAGUCUGCUGUUGUGAUUGAGAGCUACUUGUAAUCGCAGUAGCUUGUUGCUGGACAUUCUCUUGAUCAUGACUGCUUGGACACUUCCUACUAUUGUGGCCCUUCUGUUUACACUUUCUGCACUUAUAAUCCAUUAGACCAACUCUAGACAGUCUCUUUGUUUGUCCUCGAGAAGUUGUUGUAGCUGGUGGCUCAUCUGGCUCUCUUCUUCUUACCUUCUUUGGCCGGUCAGGAAGCUUGAUGGUUUCAGGUGGUAGGAUAGGCCCCUGUUUCAAAUCCUUCCACAAAUGCUCACCAUUGAGAGGAUAUAUUAUAGGCCCAUAUGCCUUCAUAUAGGCCUCUUUUGAGUAGCAUUCAUGAACAAAGUUCUCGGGAGACUCCUUUGUCAAAGCAAUAGCACUUAUUGCAUGAGCACAAGGAAUGCCAUUUAGUUCCCACCUUCUACAACUACAAGUUCUGCUAGCCAAAUUCACAGUGUACCUAUCCCCAUACAUACAUCUCACCUCAUAAUUCCAGUCCCCUGAAUGUGUAGCUAUACAUGCAUUAGAAGCAGUUUUUACCUUUUUCAACUUUUUUAAAAUUUUGGGACAUACCUUUCCUGUAUAUUUCUUCAUCCACUCCCUCUUAUUCUCCAUUCUAACCAUUAAAUAAAGUCAUAUUGUUUCCAACAUACCUAGUAUAGGCCUCUCCCUUGCUUCUAAAAUGCUGGAGUUGAAACUCUCACAAAGAUUAUUCAAUAAAAUGUCAAUUGUCACAUUUAGGGGAGGUUCUAAAGUAAGCUCUGGACCAUUGCUGUGGUGUUGUGUUGUCAACCAACCAUUGAAAUGCACCCUCAUCAACUGCUUUCAAAGCUUCCAUCAAAGCCUUGAACAGAUUUUUGUAAGGAGCACUUGCAAGUGCCCAAAUUCUCUCCUUUAAUGCCAAACCACCAUGCAGCUUUUUAAAGUUAUUGUACUUGUGUCUCACACACAUCCUAUGCUCCACAUCUGGAAGCAAAUCUUGAAUAGCUUGAAUCAGUCUCUUCAACAAAUAAAAAGGUGAAACCAGAUCAUCAAAUUAAAACUAGCAAACUCAGUUUAAAAAAACCCCAGAAAAAUACACUAACAUACCUUUUGUUUAUCAGUAAUAAUUGUCCAAUGAUUUUCAUCUCUGAUUUGGAGGUCAUUCAGCAAUUCACCUACGAACCAUUUCCAAGUCAGCUUGUUUUCUAUUUCCACCACAGCAUAGGCAAUGGGGUACAACUGAUCAUUGGGGUCAAUUCCUACAGCUGUAAGCAACACACCCUUGUGGGGCCCUCUAAGAUGGCAGCCAUCUAACCCGACAACAGGCCUACAACCACUUAAAAAGCCUGUCUUGCAUGCAUUGAGACAAAUAUACAACCUCUCAAACCUAUCUUCUCCCUCAUCAUUUUCAACAGUGGUCAUGAAAACAUUUGAGCCAGGAUUAGCCCUCUUUACUUCCCUACAAUAGUUUCUUAGUUUGUUGUAUUGGGCUUCAUGUUCACCAUUAACUAAACUCUCUGCCUUUUUCUUAGUUCUAUAAGCUUGCCACCUAGAGAUGUUGACAUUAACAUCAGUCUUCACUUUAUCUGUGAGCGUAGUCACCUUCAUGUCGGCCAUGGCAGUCAGCUCCUUUUUGUAUCUAUCAACCAAAAAAGUUGAAUUUGCUAGUCCGUGGUCAAAUGUCCUCCCACAACUGUGUUUACCUUGCAUGCUCUUGAUUUGAAAAGUCUUUUUGUCUAGCAUAACAGCUGUAGAAACUUUCCAGCUACAGUCCUUGCAAUAAGCCGUAGCUCUUCUGCCAUCAUUUUUACUGAAUUUUAUCUUCCUUCCGUGAACCACUCCAUGGCUCUUGCAUGCCUUCAUGAACAACUGCUUACAAGUAAAAAUCUGCCCAACCUCAAAUUUGGGAUCAAUCAUAUCAGUUUCAGGGUUAAAUUUUGGAAACUUAGCUCUCUUUCUUGGCUGAUCUUCUUUUUCUUCUGAGUCACACCAACUAUCAAAUUCAUCUGAGUCAGUAGCAUCUUCUUCCAUCUCAGCAUUCUCCACUUGACAUGUUCUCUCCUUUGUACUCUUAUUUGAUUUGCAAUUUUUGACAAUUUUCUCCCAUUCAGCUUUUCUUUCUUUAACAGAUUUUACUAUGUCUUCUUCAUCACUGAACUCAUAGUCACUAUCAAUGAACUUGUCACCAUCAACAGAUUCCUCAUCUUCCUCAGCAUGUGUCUCCUUCUUACUCUUCUUCUUUCUCUCAACUUUUUCAGCCUGCUCUUUAUUUGUUGAGAAUUUUUUCUGUAAUGAUUUCUCCUUUGGUGAUUUGUUAGUAGAAGGUGCAUUUUUUCCUGUAUUCUGUACUUCUGAGUUUGUCCAAUCUUGUUCUUUUCUAAAAUUCUGAUCAGGCCCUCCUAUAUUUGCUGCAUUAUCUCCUUUAUCAGCAACUCUAAUGUCAACUUCUGAAAGCAUUUCACCUAAGUUCUCUCCUAUGGCUACUUCCUCUAUGUGUUUAUUAGCUCCUGACUCACCAGCACCUAUGCUAUCCUUUUCACCCUCAUUUUCGGAUUGAGUUAUAGAAAUAUUAGUCAUCAUUAUUUCUUCUACAUCAGAAGGUUCUUCAUGCACCUUACUACCCUGUUGAUUUUCCUUAGGAUCAGUCCCCUCUUUUGGUUUACAUGGUCCAGCUUCACAUUCACUUAUGGAGUAGGUUUUUAAGUGCACAAAGUAUACAUCAACCAGACCAUAUUUCACUCCGUCUCUAGCCAAAUCCUGAGCAACAUCUUCACAUAACACAUACACUAACCCAUCCUCCAUGUUCUUCCCGGGUAUUAAGUAAUAGCAUAUUACAGUAAACUCAGGAUAACCCAGUUUUUCUGCAACCCUAUCAAGUGUACAUAUAGACCAUCUGUCAGGAUUGCAACAGUCAACAAUUUUUACACUACCCCCGCGGUAUUCUUUGUUCGGCAACUCAGUGAAUUCACCUCCAUAGUGGACCCUAAUGGAAAAUCGAUUCAUACCAUCUGCCAACCAUUUAGGAGACAGUUAACAACAAAAAAAUUUUUUGGGACCGACAGCCCAUCUAUGUAAAGCGACAACACAACACAAUACAAGGGACCACAUGUACUUACAACAAUUUAAUACAUAAAAUUGACCACCAGCAACCCUAAUCAAUAUAAUAAUGCUUCUUAACUGCACAAAUCAUGCUUAUUGCAAUUGUAUUUAAACUAUUCACAUAGUAUCUGACAUCAUUCCAUAAAUUUUAUAGUUUAGGGUUUAGAAAAACAUACUGUAAUUUGGGAUCCGUUGAAUGUCUUCUUCGUCCAUCACUCUGGUAUGCUUGUUUCUUCUUCGCUUUAGUCACUAACGCUCCUUUUCAUCAACAUCAGUCCGCUGCUGGGUAGUGGGUAGUGAUAAUUAAGUUUUUUUGUUUGGUUGAGAGGAAUCGGAGAUGGAACGGUGAGUUAGUACCAAAAUGGAGAUUUUUUUUGGGAAGUAUUCGUCCUUUACAUUUUGGUUUUGGUCAACAGAUAAGUGGUUUGGCAUUUUUACCCUUGAAAAGUUGGCCAUGUGGUGUGCGCGUGAGAUAUUCCGGGCAAAAAUCAGUCGGAAAAGUGAAAAGGGACUCAAAUUAAUCCUUUUUUAUUUGAUAAGGACUGAAAUUGAUCAUUUUCGAUCUGAGGGACUAAAUUUUCACAUUUGCAAUAUGUGAGGGACUAUUUGUGCAGUUCUCCCAAGUGGAUUUGUAUUGAGUAUUAAAGUGAGUUGAAAAAGAAUUUGUAAAUUUAGAUUGAAUGUGAAGGGUUACUCAUGAAGAAUUGUAAAUUUGGAUUUAAUAGGAGGUUUUACUCAUGAAGAAUUAAAUGUUGAAAAAUAGUGAGUCCAUAAUUGUGAGAAGAGAUGACCUUAGGUAUUAAGAUGAGAUUGCAUUAAGUAUUAAAGUAGGUUUAGAGAAGAGUUUAUAAAUUUGGAUUUAAUAUGAGGGGUUACUCAUGAAAGAGAGAUUUAUAAGAAUUACUAGGAGGGGAAUGCUCGCGCAUCGCACGGGUGUUUGGUGCUUAUGGUUAAAGAAGAUUUUACGGUAGUUCAAACGAAUAUCAAAAAACUCACACACAUUGAGUAAUAAAAUGAAGUAACAAAAUAUCUAAUGUAUACUGGGAGAUGGAGAAGGAAAUUAUGCAUGCUAUCUUGCUCAGUUCAUAUAUUUUGAAACAAACACUUGUAUAUGAGUUUUUCAUUAAUAAGACUAAAUAAACUUUAAACAGAUACCCAAACGAUUCAGAGAAUGUCAAAUAAACAAAGUGAUUAUCCACUUAAAGAUGCAUCUACACAACAUUCUUGUUGAUGAAAGUAGCUAACUAUGGCGGAGGCUUUUUGAUCAAAGUAGCCAACAUUCUUUUUGAUCGAAGUAGCCAACAUUCUUGUUGAUCGAAACCUAUUCCAACAAAAUCACACCAUUUAAAUUGUAUAGAACAACCAACUUUGUGGGGAAACAAUAAUAUCAACAUUAAAUUGCGCUAACGGAGUAUCCAAUUUUGGAAUGAAAGCAUUUAGCUAACAAUAGAAAUUACGGUUUUCCAAAGCAAAUCAUACCUUUGAAAAAAAGAAUGAAACCUCACCUCAAGUUGAACCACCAAAAAUAACUUCACUAGAGAACCAUAUUGAAAUCUAGAGUACAAUAGCAAUACAAAUAAGUAUUUACCGGAAGAUGAAAGGAACAUAAUGGAAGAAUGUGAAGGGGCAGACAUUUGAAGAAUUGAAGUUGAAACUAAUGCUCAAUCAUAAAUUCCUUAAUAAACCACAUUGUCCUUGCUUUAAUUGAGAUGAAAAUGACGUUUGAAGUUCUUCAAGUUAUAAUAGCAAAGUAAUAGUGAUAAUUGAUUCAAACCAAAAUGAAUGUCUCUGCAAGGACAUUUAAGUAAUUACACCAAUAAAGAAGCUAUUAUGGGUUGUACCUAUUGUAGAAAAGAUGACCAAAUAAUCUCACAUUCCCAAAUUACCCAAACCUUUGAACAAAUCAUCACUGCAUCUUUUAGAAUAUAAGGACAUUUCAGUAAACACAAUAAUACACACGCUAUCUAAAGUAGUACCCAAUACUAUAACUACACUUAAAACCACGUCACAAUCCCAAAAUACCCCUACUCUUGCGGUUGAAAUUCAAAGCUAUUCUUUAAUCCAAACUCAUUCUUAUAUAAUAUAAGGACAUCCUACAUUGGUUCGAAAGAUGAAAAAAGAACGAUUAAUAUAUAAGUAAGAGACUGAAACCUAAUAACUUAAAUUUUUAGAUUAGAAUUAGAUUUUUGAUUUACAUAUUGAACACUUUGAUAAGCUUUCUUGACGUUGUUCUCCCUAACACAUACUAAUUGGGAUGAUGCCAUACUAGUCUAGAUCAUGCUGACUUAUUUGGGGGAAAAUGGUGCCACCCUAGUCUAGAUCAUGCUGACUUAUUACGGAAAAAUCCUUUCUUCAAUAUGAUAAUUUACUGGAAGAAGCAAGUCUUACUUAGACAUAAUAUUUAAAAGGGUUAAAUGUAGAAAAUCCUCAUAAAAUUUUAUAGCUGUCGCAUAAUAUACCCCAAAGCAUAUUUAUAGACACUUUGCACCUUAAAAAAAUUAUCGUUCACAGAUUUCACGAUCAAACAAAAGCACGUGUCUUGCAAGUUUUGUCCGUUGAAAUUUCUUGAUAGAAUUGUCCUCCUUCCAAACGAACAUAAAUGACUAUCUCUACCUGACAAAAUAUUAUUAAGAAUAAUUUUGUUGUCGAAAAAGAAAACAAAAAGUACAAAAAAUUUUUCUUAUCAAAUGAGUAAAAAUUUUCUAAAAAAGUGUCGUUAACCAAUAAUAUACUACUACUAAUAUUUUUUUUUAUUUUAAUCUUAUUAUUUGUCACUUUGCUAUUAAUAAUUAGAUUUAUUAUGAGCUCAUUUGUUUUAGAUGUAUCUAAAUAAUUUGAAUACUAUACAAAAUAUGCUUUGCACAUAGCUAACAUAUAUUUGCAAUUAUUAUUACUACUAAUAAUUGAACACAAAAAAGAGAUGAAAAGAGAAUAAGUUGAAGUUCAUUAAAAAUAAUAUACAAAUAAUAAUAGUAAAAAUUAAAAUAACUAGUCAUACAAGACAAAAAAGAACAAGAAAAAUGUAAAAUGGAACAAGGUAAAGAGUAAAGAAAAAAGUACAAAAAAUAAUUGAUAUAUAAAUAAUAUUCCAAGUAAUAGUUUUUUUUCACAUACAUCACAUUCCAAAAUUAUUUAGAUAUUUUAUUGACCAUCACAUCCCACUCCACGCAACACAAUGGCCAUGAAGGGUGCUUUUAUCCAUUCAAUUAUCAUUUAAGAAUACAGUUAUCAUUUCAGUGGUAAGUAAAUGGUGUAUACAGAUUCGUUAAUUUUUAGUAGAAUUUGAGUGCAAAGUGCCUAUAAACAUAUUUUGGAGUGUAUUGUGCAACAACCAUAAAUAUUUAUGGGAGUUUUUUGCAUUUAACCCUAUUUAAAAUACUAGUAGUCUUAAUUUCACCUGCCGAGACAUUCGUGUUUUGUUAGGCCUUGUGUAAAAUCAGAAGAAUUGGGAAAAGUUUCAUUGUUUUCUCAUUGCCAUAUGCUCUAUAUAUACAAGUACAAUGUGCAUCAGGCUCCCGUGACUUCAGCCCCAAUUUACCUAAUUAUGUGCAAUUACCAAUACUACCAAAUAUAGAUAGAUACUAUAAACACAAGAUACCCUAAACUGCAGCCGAGACUCCUUCACUAAACUGCAGCCGAGACUACUUCACUAAUACCCCCCCUCAAGUUGGAGCAUGAAGAUCAGAAAUGCCCAACUUGCAAAGAAUGUCAUCAAACGAACGUUUGCCAAGAGCCUUGGUUAGGAUAUCAGCGAGUUGGUGAGACGAGGAUACAAAUUGGGGAAGAAUGAUACCACGACGAAUCUCAUCACGAACAAAGUGACAAUCAACUUCGAUGUGCUUGGUGCGUUCAUGAAACACAGGGUUGUGAGCAAGAUGAAGAGCAGACUGGCUAUCACAAUAAAUCCGCAUAGGAGAUGAGUGAGGGACACCAAGAGAAGCUAACAAACCCUUGAGCCAUUUCAAUUCACAAGUCGUAGAGGCCAAAGAACGAUACUCUGCCUCAGCAGAAGAUCGAGAUACGGUAUGCUGUUUUUUCGUUUGCCAGGAAAUUGGAGAAUCCCCAAGAAAGACAAAAUAUGCCGUCAAAGAACGUCGAGUCAAGGGGCAACUCGCCCAAUCCGCAUCACAAUAAGCCGUAAGAUGAAGAGAGGAAUUAGAACGGAGCAAAAGACCUUGCCCAGGAUGAAGUUUUAAGAAACGAACAACCCGAAGGGCCGCCUCCCAAUGACUAUGCCGUGGUUCCUGUAGAAACUGUGCCAAGAUAUGUACACAGUAAGACAAUUCAGGGCGAGUAAUCGUCAGGUAGAUAAGACGACCAAUAAGACGCCGAUAAGGCAUAAAAUCAGGAAGGAUCUCGUCCUUAGCCAAAGCAAGGUGAUGAUUUUGCUCCAUUGGUGUGCCGGCAGGUUUAGCACCUAACAAGCCGGUCUCAGAAAUAAUAUCGAGAGCAUACUUUCUCUGACAAAGAAAAAUCCCAGUCGAAUUUCGCGCUACUUCAAGACCAAGGAAGUACUUCAAUUUACCAAGGUCUUUCAUGUGGAAACAAUCAUUCAAGUAAGUUUUAAACGCAUGAAUGGCAUCACUAUCAUUCCCACCUAUCACCAGAUCAUCCACAUAGACCAAAAUGGUCAACUGAACUUUGCCACGCCGAAACGUGAACAAAGAAUAGUCUGAGCCAGAUUGCUGAAAUCCAUAUUGAACCAGAGCCGCAGCCAGCUUGGCAAACCAACACCGCGGUGCCUGUCGCAGCCCGUAGAGAGACUUGCGCAGACGACACACUUUAUCCGCUCCGGGUGCCGUAAAACCUGGUGGAAAACGCAUAUAAACUUCCUCCUCAAGGUCGCCAUGCAAAAAUGCAUUGUGCACAUCCAUCUGAUGCAAUUCCCACCCACGGAUCGCUGCUACUGCCAAGAAGGUACGAACCGUGACCAUCUUUGCAGUAGGUGCGAACGUCUCAGUAUAAUCAAGACCCUCGAUCUGAUGAUUCCCGAAAACGACCAACCGUGCCUUGUAUCGCUCGAUUGUUCCGUCUGCAUGAUACUUGAUUUUGUAGAUCCAUUUACUACCAAGAGCCUUCUUUCCCGUAGGCAAAGUAGAAACUGUCCAUGUCCCAUUAUCCUCUAGAGCCUCAACCUCCUUUCUCAUUGCCUCACGCCAACAUGAGUGCUGCAUUGCCUCUUUAAAACUAGUUGGUUCAAUCCCUGUAGUUACUGCAGCCACGAAUCGACGAUGCGACAGAGAAAAUUUAGCACAAUUCACAUAGUUUGUGAUGGGGUAGGGCGUACCUGAGGAUGCCAAGGAAGAGGAAGGAGAGCUCGAGGAACUGAGGGCAGCUGUAUGUAACACAUAAUCAUGCAAACGAACUGAAGGCUGUCGCGCUCGUUUGCCGCGACCAAGAUCGUCCACUGCACCUGUAACCUCUGCAACUUCAGAUAUUGGUACGAUCCCAUCUGCUGUCACGCCCUCUUCCACGGACUGUCCAUCAUAUUCAGAGACUGGCGGAGGUACCUCAAUCUCAGGCACGUCCUCCAAUAUAGUAGGCUCAAUGACAGUAGGCAGAGGAUCUGGAGUUGCCGACCUUGCGGAGUCCGUAUGGGCAAAAGGAAACACGUGCUCAACAAACUCAACAUCUCGACUUUCAAAGCAAACCUUCCUAUCUAGAUCAUACACCCUCCACCCCUUUUUACCAUAUGGAUAACCCAUGAAUAUGCACUUAUGACUUCGACUUGCAAACUUAUCCUUUUCCCGAUUAAUGUUCUUAGCAUAACAUAGGCAUCCAAAUACUCUAAGAUGAGAAAUAGAUGGAGGGCUGUCAAACAAAAUUUCAUAUGGAGUUUUUCCAUCCAAAAUCAACGAUGGAGUACGAUUGAUUAAAUAUCCUGCAGUGAGAAUGCAUUCUCCCCAAAAUUGAAUAGGUAAGUUAGCCUGAAAACGAAGCGCCCUACCAACAUUCAAAAUAUGUCGAUGUUUCCUCUCAACUCUUCCAUUUUGUUGGGGUGUCCCAACCAUGGAAGUGUGAUGAAUAAUGCCACACUCCUUAAAAUAAUCACCUAAACAAGUAAACUCUGUACCAUUGUCACUGCGUAUAAUUUUGACUUGUUUAUUAAAUUGUCUCUCGGUCAUAGCCAAAAAAUUCUUAACAACAUAUGGGACCUCAUGUUUUCCUUUUAACAAAUAAACCCAUACACCACGAGAACAAUCAUCAACAAUAGUCAGAAAAUAGGUAGCACCACAAAAACUAGCCUUUCGAUAAGCUCCCCACAAAUCACAAUGAAUUAAUUCAAAAAUAGCACUAGCUUUACGGUCACUAAUAGGAAAAGGAAUACGAGUUUGUUUUGCCCGGAAACAAACGUCACAAGGUUCAUGAACACCUUUAUUUAUCUCUAUACUACCGUCUAUUGUAGGGAGCUUUUCUAUGACUCGCACAGAGGGAUGUCCCAACCUUUUAUGCCACAAAUCCAUAUUCUUGGCUCUAACGGCUCCAUGAGCACUAACCAGAGGCUCCCCUCGUGCGACAUACAGCCCCUCAAGCUCUUCACCCACUCCAAUCAGCAUCCUCGAAGUACGGUCCUGGACAACACAUAAACGAUCAGUGAAUUUCAAGAUAUAAACUUUGUCACGGGCUAAUUUUGAAACAGAUAUCAAAUUGCAUCGUAUUUCAGGAACAUAUAAAACACCCUUGAGAGAUAAUUUUCCUACAAGAACUGUUCCUUCUCCUGUUGCCAUAACAUAUUCACCGUUUGGCAUUUUCACGGGACAAGGAGGUAUUCCUUGAAGUUCUACAAAUGCAGUUUCCUCUCCCGUCAUAUGAUGCGAAGCACCUGUGUCAAACAACCAUUGUAAAUAUGCCUUACCAUUAAGCCUUGGCCUUGGCUGAGCAACUGAUGUAUUAUUCGUGUGAGUGUUCCAGAGAGACUUCAAAGUCUCCCAAUCAGCUUUGCUCAAGUUCUCCAAUCCAGCUUUAUCAGAAUCAUCAAGUGGUCUCCCAUGGGAAACAUUAGCAGCCACCUGUGCUGCCCCUUGUGCAACAUGAGCCCGUGCUACUCCACCGCGACCACGCCCCUGGUUACCACGUCCUUUGCCUCUUCCUUGAGUCAAAUUUCCCGGCCACCAGUCGGGAUAGCCAUGAAGACGAAAGCAUGUGUCCAUGCUAUGUCCCGGUUUCUGGCAGUGAGAGCAAACUACUCCAUUGUCUUUUUGGUCCCCCCCUGAAUUCCGAGGGCCUGGGCUGACUGUUUUCAUGGCAAAGCUCACCGGAUCAGACCGAUUGGGAGCUGCUCGCGUCAUUACCUGCACUUGUUCUUGCUCCGUAACUUGAGAAUAAACCUUAUGAAGGUUUGGAAGAGGGUCUGAAGCAAUGAUGUUGGAACGAACAUUACUAUAAGAUGAUUCAUCAAGCCCCAUGAGGAAUUGAUGCACCCGCUCUUCCUCUUGACGCUGUUGAAGCCGUGUAACGAAGUUAUACUUGCAUCCAUUACAAGAGCAAGUAGGCAUAGGAUCAUAAUCAUUCAAAUCAUCCCACAGCUUCUUGAGUCGACCAUAAUAAGCCAUGAUCGAAUCCCCGUUUUGUUUGCAAUUGGCAACCUCCGUUUUCAAUUGAUGAACUCGCGCGCCAUUACGAACAGAGAAUCGUUGCUGGAUAUCGUCCCAUAAUUGCCUUGCCGUUUCCUUGUAUGAAAUCGUGGAACGCAAGCCUGGUUCGAUGGUGUUAAAGAUCCAUGACACAAUCAUGGAAUUCACUGUCCACCAAUCAUCAAUUUCAUCUGAGUUCUGGUUCGGCUCCUUAAUGGUGCCAUCAAUGAAACCUUGUUUCUUCUUUGCCCUCAACGAAAUCCUCAUGGCCUUAGCCCAUUCUUCAUAGUUUGGUCCUUUGAAUUGUGUCUGCGUAAUUAAAUUCCCUGGGUUGUCAUUCGCGCUCAAUAAGAACGGCGAAUUGGUCUUCAAACUUGAAGCUUUUUGAUCUGUCAUCAUCCUAGGAUUUAUAGUUCAGGGGUUCGGUAUUGUUUUCAGAGCCAGAAGGCUCUGAUACCAUGUAAAAUCAGAAGAAUUGGGAAAAGUUUCAUUGUUUUCUCAUUGCCAUCUGCUCUAUAUAUACAAGUACAAUGUGCAUCAGGCUCCCGUGACUUCAGCCCCAAUUUACCUAAUUAUGUGCAAUUACCAAUACUACCAAAUAUAGAUAGAUACUAUAAACACAAGAUACCCUAAACUGCAGCCGAGACUCCUUCACUAAACUGCAGCCAAGACUACUUCACUAAUACCUUGCCCAACUGAUUUUCGGAAAUACAAAUCAUGAGCUGGCAGAGGUUUAAAAAUUAGGGGACACGUUUCCCUAGGUCUGUUUGUACCUUUAAUUGUGGUUAAUAUAAUGAUAUCAUGAUUUUACCAACAAUAGAAAAGGUUAUCACGAUUUUACCAACAAUAGAAAAGGUUAUCAAGAUUUUACCAACGAUAGAAAAGGUUAAAAAAUACUGUGUUUGGAUAUGAGAUUGUUUGAGAUAAUUUUUUUAAAAAAAAUACUGUAAUAUUUUUUUAAUGUGGCAUAUAUGAGAUAAAAAGAUGAUUGAAAAAUGUGUUGAUGAUGCAAACGAGUCAGUCUGUAAAUAAACUGUAAAUAAUGUGCAAUCCAAACACACUCACUCCUUGACAUCAAGUGUUUCAUUAGAUGUGUACUACAGAAAAGGAAAUCCACACCUUAACAACUGGAUCUUGUCAUCGAACAGGAUACAAAAUUCCUAAAAACACUAUUUUAAACAGAAUCUGCAAAUUUACAGAGAGGUUUCACAUGAACUAUUUACUUUCUGCAUGACUCAGCAUGGGCUUAACCUGGACUCGAUUCAACAUCUGCUUGAUGUAGCUUAGGUUCAAUUUCUGCUGGGUCUUUCAUCAGAUUCAGCUUGCUCAUCAAGAGGAAAUGGAUGAUCCUUGGAAGAAGCACCAUUGUUCAAAGGUUUAUUGAACUGGACAAGUAUCAUGGUCAUGUUGUCACAGCCUUCCCCACCAGCAGUUGGUGCCAAACAUUUGUCAAGCAACCUCUCACACACUGUUGAAAGCUUUGUCUCCUAAGUAAUUUGUAAAAUACCGGAUGCAUCAACAAUCGUGUCAUCAAAUGACUUUUACUUUACAAAAUUUAUCAACAGCAUUAUUUGAGAUAUACACAGAAGACUUACGUUGUACAGCUGCUCUCGAACAAAGUCCACUACCUGUUGACUUGACAUGCAAUCCCUACCACAAAAAGAUACAUAAUUAACAUGGCAAACCAUGUUACAAGAAGACAAACGUAUGAAUUAAAAGUUCUAACAUUCAGCAGGGCAUGCAAAGCAAUGCCAUCAACCAAAGCUGUAGAGGCAAAACAGUGGAGUGUCUUGUUGUACUCGUAAUCUUCAGGUCCACUUUUCACAUUGCAAUUUUCAUGCUAAACUCUUACCAUAAAGAAACUAUGGAUGUUUAAAGUAUACAUUAAUUUAUGUAUAGAGUACACAUGAUAGGCUAAAGGGCCAAAAAAGGGACAAAGGUUGCAGGCUUUUAAUUCUUAGGGACAAAAAUUCAGGACAUAUGUCGAUGAACUACGUGACUAAGAAAUGAAGUAGCAGUUAGAUGGAUUUGAUAUUGUCAAUUUCAUAACACACUACUCUUAUCACAGAAAACAUGUUAAAAGAUCAUCCACUAUGCAUCAGUUAUCUUACAUAAGUUUCAUGAGGAGGAGAUACAGCUCUUUUGCUAGAAUUAAGAGUUUUCAAUCUUUUACAAGCAAAUCAGUGCUAACUAACUAGAGCACUAUGGUAAAAUCUCUGAAUUAGAGACCUACCAAAUUCACACAAAUAUAACUUAGUUUUGCCUCUGCAUGAAAGUCUAACACAGCAAUGCAGAGCAGCAAGUUCAUGACAUGCGUAGGUUAGCUACUACAGACAGUUGCAACAUAUCCUGAUAUAAAACCACUGGCUCAAAAAUCCUUUAGAGGAUGUUUUUAAGUCAAAUUGAUUACCAAGAAAAGUAACUAUAACUAGGAAAAAGAAAGGAGCCAAGCGGAAAAGCCCUACCAUAUCCCAUCACAGGCUAGAACAAGAAACUCAUCGUCAUCUUGGAGAUCAACCUAGUAUCAAAAGGACCAAUGGAAAAAGACCAUGUCACGUGAAGAUACUAUUCAAUGAAAUGCAAAAAUAUGCACACUAAAUAUUCCAAAUCUUAACUAGGCGAUUGCCAAAUUGAAUUAAACUUAAAUCAAUAGCCCUUUCCCAUAAAGAAGAUUGUAAAGCAAGACGUUGAACAUAAUAUCACUUCUAAAAUCAUCGUUUAGCAGAUUCAGCUCACAAUAGCAUUCAAGUCAUAAAUACCAUGGUAAUGUCAGGAUCUGCUGUUACAAUUUGCCUUUCAGCAGGAAGUGCUUUGUUUUGCUUUAAUUCCAUGUCACCUGAAGUCAUAAAAAUUGUCACGUCCAUGCAAUCAAAAAAGAAACAAAUUUCAUUUUCUCGAUAAAUACCAAAAGUAAAGCUCUCCGCCUCCCAACAAACCAACAUGGGUACCUAUUGCCCUGGCCAGGUUCAGGCUACCAUUGACACGUCCACAUUGGACAUAGCCACCAGCUUGCAGUAUCCUUUCUUUUUCCAAUUCAUGGUCAGGCUUGUGAUCUUUUGACAGAGCAUAGGCCUAAAUUAGAGAUAGUGAAUUUCCUAUUAGCACAGUUAGGACUGCCCUAUAGAAGUAACCAGCAACAUAUUCCCUUUGGAUUAGAAAACUAACAAGUUGCCUAAGUUCUUUGGUCUAAAAGAGCAAGUGAGUGGGACAUGGAGAGCAAGACCAGAUUUACUCUUCCUUCUUCAAAUAAAAAGAAUGAAAAAUAAAAGUACAUUUAGUUAACCAUACUAUAUAAUUAACUGAUAGCAUAGUUUUAUUUUGGUAGGGAUGCUAUCAGGUCUCCAAACUCUUUGUAUAUCACGAAAUCCAGUAUCAAAAGUAUAACCUAGAUGGAUCAAGACAAAUCAGACUUCUUUCAGAAAACACAAGACUACAAAAUUAUUACCCAAAGCUUCAGCAAAAUCUCUACCUGACCACCACGAGACAUCACGCAACGAGAAUCACCAGCAUUUGCAACGACAAGUUGAUUGUCACGGAUAAUUGCAACACAAGCUGUGGUACCAGAAGUUGGUCCAAUAUAAUCAGAAUGUGGUCCCUUCACUCACAAUCAUGUUUAAUAUGCCUUAGUUUCAAAACAAGAUCAUAUGGGCUUAUAUAAAUUUAAUUAAUAACACUAUUUAAAUAUUUGCUUGCUGACACAAAGGAGGACAAUAAAUCAUCUCAAGUCUUAGCAAUGCUAAAUGACGUACAGGUAAAUAGUUAACCACAAAGAAUCUGCAUUGUAGCAGAAAAUACAGGAAUGAUAAAUUCCUCAUCUCAACUCAGGUGGUGCAUGCAAAAUAAAACAAUCAAUCCUCAAGACCCUGAAAAACCCAUGUUAUAUAACAAAUUCUCAGCUUUGGAUCGAUGAAAAAUUAGUAAAAUAACAACAUGGCACUGAUGUCAAAAUCAUAUAUCGUAGAAAGAAAGAGCAUAAAAAAUUUUCCAUACAGGAUAUGUUUGCAGACUAGGGAAAGAUGCUGCCAAGAAAAUAAGAUUGUCUUUAAAAUUAAAAAGUGAAAAGAUCUCGGUGCUUGGAAGUAAAAGAAAGUUUAUCAUCACUUCAUUCAUUCUCAUAAUAUAGACAAUACAUACAGGAAAAUUUAUUGUUACUUUCAUAAUAUUAUCUCAUGAUGGAGCUAGCUUAACAGAACAUGGCCAUCACCUCCUCAUGCAAAAACUUACAAUCCCCAUUAACAGAACAGCACAAAUGACUUUAGUAUUGCAGCAUGCAAAUAUAAGCUCCAAAAAACAUGUGAUAUACUAAGAGGGGGAGGUAUGCAAUGGAAAUACAUAGGAGGUGAUAUAUAUUGACAUCUUUAAAAAUCAUAUUUGUAUCUAGCGUACUAGACAGAUGCAAGACCAAGGGCUUACCUGCUCAGAAGGCCAAUCAUUAAUCUGGCUGUUGGCUUCGCCACUCCUUGGGGACCAUAUCAAUCCUUCUAUCAUGCCUGUGACCUUUUGCAUUUUAUCCCCAAGUACAGAUAAUUCUCUCCAGCCUCUUUGCCCACACAUCAUCUCAUCCAUCCUGAAAGAUAAAUGACCACAAAGUAGACACAAGGUUACGCGGCAUUUACAAGUUGCAACGCCUAAAAAUUUGAAGAACUCUGUCCUAUAUAAGAUUCUUCUAGUAAGACAACCACAAAAUACAAAUUGCAGAAUCAAAAUUAACCAAAUUAAAUGCUAUUCCGACACUUACUGGGUAUUAUUUGUAAAUUCAUCAAUCUGUACAAUAAUCAAAUGAUUUUUUUUAAUCAAAUGACUUAAAACCAUCAACAGACUAACAAAAAUUUUAAUCCCAUUCAAUUAUAAAUGACUUCAUACUCAAAUGAGAAGUGACCAGGGUAAACUCCUACUUCACAAAUCAAGGUAUUACACAAAACUCAACUUGUGGGAAUUACUACAGUUUCAGUGGCCAAUGUUGUCAUGAACAACACAGUCUGGUUCCAUAAUGCUAAUCUGAUAUGAAUAAGUGUUUUGCUAGUAAUAACACCAUACUGAAGUUAUACAUGCAUUCCAGCUAUGGUUAGACCGUGUCAAUAACACAUGUAGGUAAGGAACUAAAAAAAAAAAGGAUUGGAGUAACCUGAGAAAAGAUUUCUUCAUCGAAUCUCCUAAAUCACCAGCUAAGUAGGCUUCAUUUUUUAGCACUUGUUCGUGAAGAUACUUGGCACAAAAUUUAGCAACUGCUUUUCCUGCAAGAAAAUUAAGGACACAUAUAAUGAACCCACAUAUAUCUGACGUCAAAAGUUCAAAGAUCAUAUUCCUAUUUAAACCCAAUCUCCUCCUCCCCCAACCCUCCAACCACUCCACACCCCUCCCCAAAGAAAAAGAAAGAAAGGAAACAGACACAUACACACGACACCAAUGAUGAUCUCCAACAAGCAAAAAUUAGCUCAGUGUGAGAUUAACUUAUUCCAAUCAUUUUGUUUAGUGCAGCAAGAAUAUAAAUCUCAUUCCAAUCAUUUUGUUUAUUGCAGCAAGAAUAUGUCUUACAUUUGGCAUCUCAAUUAAUCAUAUUUGUAAUUAACUAAAUGGAAUCAAGGUCAUAAUUGUAGCGCCCUGAGCCCGCCAGACUGGCCCAAUACCAUUUUGAGCUGAAACCACGGGCUCAAAAUGCUUAACCCAAAGUUAUUAGUUACCUGAUGGUCCGGACGUUCUAUACGAUUCUUUUUCUUCUCUUGAGUCCGAUGUGGGAUAUCACAAUAAUAAUCCAGUAUUAGCCGAUUUUCCUAGCUCUAAAUGGAGUUAUAUGAAUCAAAUAUGAGCAACUCUUUAUUCCAAGAGAAAAAACAAUACACAAAUCUCUCAGGUUCUUAACUCAUCUCUGCAAUACUCUACUCUACAUAAAUUGCUAUGCUAACAUAAGCAAUUAAGCACUUUAGUCAAAAUUACUUGUGAGCAAAAAUACUAUGUUUGUGAUUAUAGGAAUAGAUGUCUAAAUAUGUUUCCAUUGUAAAGAGAUUAGUUUUAAUUAUCUAACCGAGUUGCAGCCUUUCUUGUCAAAUCCAUCUUACACCUUUGAAGUUGUUUUUCAGUAUAUUUAAUCUCUUUCGUCAGCUUGUUUAUACAUAUCAGAAUUGCCUUUGAGAAGCUAUGCUAUUUACUUGCUAAAAUAAUAGAAAGUAUUAAAUAGAAGGUUACAGAAAUUGAUAGAUAAGAAUAAAUACCAUUCAGCACUCCUUAUAAGGGAAAAAAUAGUAUAAAAUUAACUGAUAGUAAGUCAUGCAACAGGGGAAAAAAAAUCAAGUUCAGUUUCAGAUAGAAAAGGCAAAAAAGGUGAUGUAAGGGGAAAAAAUAUAAAGGAGAAAGGUGCUAGAGAGGUGGAUAUUUUCUUCCUAAAACGCUGAGCCAUAUCCUAAAGAUGUAGCCAGAAAGCAAGGCCAAGUACAAGUCAGCUUCAUUUCAGUUUUCAUAUAAGUCAACAAAGAGCUAUAAAAACUGACUCCGUUUAAAGUCUUACCUCCAUGGCCAUCAUAAACUCCAAAGAAAGACGUAGCCUUGUCCAAGUUGGGAUAAACUGCAUGCUACAGAAAACAAGAUGCUGUAACUAAGUAGCAGAUUCUUUUAGUGCUAGUGAUAUUGUCCACAUCCAAAGAUAAAAGCAAUAAAAGAAACAUUUAAAGCUCACUGUACCAUCAAAGAAGAAUAUACCAAGUAUCUAGGCUUCAUAUAUAAAGGUCCACAGGAAUCUAUGCAUAUAUAAGAAAGCUAACACUUAGUUAAUAUCUCAUCAAGAUACCUGAUUGAAAUGCCAAAUGGUGAAUGACCUAGUCAUGAGCUAUUUGACAAUGAACAUAUAUUUUAAAAAAAAUUAAAAACAAAAAACUAAAGAAGGUGAUAGAAAUGAAGAGCAUGAACUGCUAAAAAGUCAAAUGACAAGCUGCAAUAGGUUUCAUUUAUCAUUAUUUACUGCUGACUAGCACUAGAUUCCCAAUAAUUAGAAGCCAGAAGAUACUUACAGCAUCUUCCAUGGUAGAGCGCCAUCCUUGCAUGGAGGACAUGCCAUAUCUGAGUCUAUCAUUCUCGCCAUCAUCUGAUGACUUCUCCGUUUUAGGAGUGCUUAGAUAUACCCCCAUACUUCACUGCAGCCAAACUCAAGAAUAAGCAUAGACUACAAAUUUGAACAAACACAUUCUCUUUUCUUUUGUUUCACAGCAGCCAAACUCAAGAAUAAGCAUAGAAUACAAAUUUGAACAAACAUAUUCUCUUUUCUUUUGUUCUUCUUUUAAUAAUUUAAAAAAAAAAAGAUAAAUCAGGAAAAGAAAAGUUUGUUUAUGUACGAAAAGGCUCAUGUAGUACAAUGGAAAAAUUAACUCAACUCGCUAUGACAGAAAUACGUAGAAACACUCACAAAAUGAAACUGUGGAGCCAGUUUACACUCUAAAUUCACUAAAAUUUAGUCAAUUGAAAAAAAUCGUACAACUAUUUAUGUUAUCCACAACAGCCUACUUGGCAUGUGUUUUCAUCUGGUAGUUUAGGAAAUUAUACUAAUUAUUAAAGAAUUAACAAGAUGCAUGCCACCAGCAAAUAACUCAUUUGAAAUCCUUUUCCCCGAUUAUUUCUAACUUAAGAGAAUUUGAGAUUUACAAUAUCACCGCAAAAACUUGCCCAGUAUAAAGUGCAAUAAAAUUGUAAAAUAAUUUCAACACAGUUCUUUAUACUCUUAAUAUUAGCACGGAAAUUGAAUCAACAAUGAGAAAUCAACAGCAUUUAAAACAUUUUCAAACCAGCACAGCAAAACUCUAUCGUUAUUUCUCUAUUUUCGUCAAGAUGCCCGAAAAUUCCACAGAGUUGACUCCAUUUUCCACACAUAUACGAUGCAUUUUUCACAUAAUACGUAACAAUUCUAACAACUCCACAUACUUAUAAUCUUCUCUCUAUCGUUCCAAUUUUAUUCGAACUAUCACCAAACAGCUAAAUAACAUUCUGCGCUAAUAUCGAUCAUAACAUAAGAAGUUACAACAUAGAAAAGAAUGAAAACGGUAAAAAAGCAAUUCAUCGCCAUGAUAUAUGGGGAAAAAAAUAAUUGUACAAUUGAUCACGAACAUAAACUAACACAGAUGCUUGGUAACGAUCUAAAAAACUUACCAAACAAAUCAAAAUCGCAUCCGAAAUGAAGUCGAGAGAGUUGAUGAAGCUGCGUUAGGGAUUUUUCAACGAGCUGGCAAGCAAAGUUAUCAAUGUAGAAGCACCCGGAGAGUGAGAGUAUUUUGUGCGUGUGUGUGUGUGUGUGUGGGGGGGGGGGGGGGGGGGGAGUGAGAGAGAGAACUGAUCAAUGGAAGGCAGUUUUGGGUGACGAGGGAUGACUCGGCAGCGGUGAGCUGUGGAUUAACGGUGGAUUAACUACGGUCUAUUUAUUUUUGGACCGUGAUAUAUUUUAUUCUCUGGGUUUUAAUUAUUUACUAUGUGCUGGUUUAAUAAGUGGGCCCGAUGAUGAGCGGAUGCUAUCCUUUUGGGCUGGACAGCUUUUUCCUAGGCAGAGAGUUUUGUGUUCCCAAAAAAAGGAAAAAGAAAUGGAUAAAAGGGGAAGAUAAAAUAAAAAGUUGGUCGCCACUUUUCUUAGUCAUGUAGAUGAUUCCGAAAGAAAAAAGAAAGAAAUCUGGUGAGAGAUUAAAGGUGCAGGUUUAAAUUGUAACUUAAUUUGUAGAACUUUCCUAAUAGUGGUUGAUUACAGGCAAAAUUUUAAUCUGGUUCAUGGAUUUGUAAUGAUUAAUUGCAUUUUAACGAAGUUUUAGCUCGCCAUGUAAUAGAGGACCAUGCUAGAAGCAGCUAAAUACUGAAAUCCUCAUUUAAAUUUAAUGCUUUUUUAAUCAAGUAAAAAAAAUGAUUUUUAAGACAUUGAAUUCUCAUAGCAUGUAAGUUAAUGUGAAAUUCCGUGACUUGGAACUUUUGCCAUCAGAGGAUUCACCUUUGUUGACCAUUUCUAAGGUUGGGCCGACCGAAAACGUAGACUACUUAAAUUGGACUUCGAUCAAAUGGUCAGGCAGAGUCUCAUAGAACUCUCUCUCUCUCUCGUCGGAGGUUCAGACGCCAUUUUACAAUGAAACAUUGUGCUUUAUUUAUUCAAAAAAUUUAGAGAGUAUAAUAGUACACUUAUAUGGUUUAGAGGUUCUCUCGCAACCCCCAUACAAUGCCUAAAUGAUGAUACUUGCUCCAUCAUUUUCAUGAGCCACUAGUUGCUAAAGGAAUUGAAAAGUUUCCUUGCUUGGAUUGCUUGUUUCCAUAGGAAAAUAUCGUCGUUUUCCGUGAUCACAUUUCCCUAUCAUCUUUUUCCCUCACAUAUAUCAAAUCGCUACAGUAAUUUUUCCAUGAAAAAUGAUGGAAAAUGCAAUCCAAACUUUAAACUUCUCGCCUCCAUCAAUUAAAAUUUCAUUUCAAGUUUUAUAAAUGGAUCAAUAAGUGUCUGACUUUUUUUUUUCUACCUAUAUUCUAAGUAAUUAGCCGAAUUUGAGCCUCUAAACUAAUAAUUAAAUUUCAGCUUAGACUUGAAGUCUUGAACAGUCGAAACUAGGAAAAUUUCAGCGCGGUCAGUGGGUCACCGGUGAGUCACGCAUAAUGAUAAGAGUUCUUACACACCCAGUAGGAUUUUGGACCUGAAAUUGAAACUGACCAUGAAAGUGAAGCCUAGUCCAGCCGGUAGAUCUAAAUAUCGUGGCCCGAGUCCAAACUUCAAAAUCAAUGGAUUUAAGGCUCAUUCUGGCCCAGUCCUCUCCAAAUUUUCUUUAUUUUUUUUUCAUUUUUCCUUUUUCCUCGCCAAAAUUUAUGGGAUCACAAAAUAUACUUCAUGGCACUAAAACAAUCAAAUUUUUUUCGGGCCAAAAGGAAACCUGAAUCCGAAAUUACAUAAAAAUAAUGCGACUAUGAAUGGUCCCCAAGUAAUCAACGGACGAAAACUACCAAAUUUAUUCCACAGAUAGAAAAGUAACUCUAGGUUGUAUGUUAAGGCUCAACUUGGCUCUAAUACAUUUUAAGUUACUCCCCCUGAUAAGGUUCUUACUCGGUAAUGUUAUAAUAGUAUUUUGUUUAGUUUUUUUAUUUUUUUCUCAAAUUUAAAAGUUUUUAGGAUAUAUAUGUUGGAUUUGAAAUUUUUUGAGUUUUCUCAACAGAUCUCAGUACCAAUUUUGAACUUGAACUAGUUAAUUGACAGAUUUGAGGGAAUAAACAAGCACAAAUAUUUAUGGAACAACACAUAUAUUUAGUCAAAUCUAAUGGUUUGUGAUUCAUAGUGUAAUUUUUUUUAUUUUAUAAUUUUGUUAAAUCUAAUGAUUUUUAAAAUUAAAUAUAUUGAGAUAUGUUCUAUAUGCCUUUUGUCAUUAGUGCAGCUGUCUUUAAUGAUAUUGGCUUCUGUUUUAUCAAAAAAAACUAUAUGGUAUUUGGCAGUUUAUAAAUAUCUUGCGACAAGAAUGUUGGCAACAUUUAAAUAGAAUGAAUACCUUUAGACUAUGGCACUCUUCUGGUAUAUAAAAGCAUUUAGCUAUUAAAAGAUCCAUCUUUUCGUUUUUGGAUGCUCAUCUACAAUGUUUAAAGAAAUUUUAGAGGAAAAAACCGUCAAUACAUGUGAGUGAGAGACCUGUACAAUUAAUAGCGGUAAUUAUCUAGUGAGUAUUUGAUGGUGAGAUUGUUCCCUUCGAACAUGAUUGAGAUCGCUAUUGAAAAACCACCAGCCUUUGGUUUGGUGGCCACCACCAAAGCAUUAAGGCUUGGUGGGGUGGGAGGCAAGGGUUCAAACCUUGCCCUCAUCAAUUUGCCACAAUUAAAUGUGGCCUUAUUUAAAAAAUUCAGACAGGUGCGUAAUGCACCCGUCUGAUCCGGUGGUGGUUUAGUCCCCUCUAGAUUACCCCAAGAUCUCUUCAGGUCCUCCCCCUCCCCAUAGUAUAGGAAACUAUCGUAUUGACGAAAAAAAAAAGAGAGAUCGCUAUUGAAAACUUUUUUGAGUACCUGGUACCAACAAACUUUCUCAGCAACGUAAUAUCUUGCCGGUCCACUCUUUUGUACUCCGUGGUGACGUGAAGGGCUAUGUUUGAGCAAAAUUCGUUAUUUCUAGUCCGCUUGCCAAUCACUUAUGGCUGACAUAGGAAAAACAAAAUAUGAGGGAUAUAUAUACAACAUUUGACUCAGCUGUUAUGUAUUUUGCAGACCAUUCAACAGUUGAAGUUAGGGUUACAAACGAAUCGAAUCGAGUCGAAUUUUGAUCUAAUCAAGUCGAGGCUUAAUUUAUUUUUAUUGAACUCAAACUCGAGCUCGAGCUCGACGAGUUGGUAAUUUAAAACUCGAGCUUGAAAAAAUAAAAAUUAAUUAUUCUAUUUUUAAAAAAAUAAAUAAAAUAAUAUUUUUUCUUAAUAAAUAAUAAAAUAUUAAGGAUAUAUAUAUAAUUUUACUAUUAAAAUAAAUAAAUAUAUAUAUAUACUCGAGCUCGUGAGCCUGCUUAAUAUUUUGAACUUGAAUUCGAGCCACAGGACAAAAAUAUCAACCAAAUUAUUUAAUACUCAAAUCGAAUUCGACUUAGUAAGAAUUCAUUCGAAUUAGAUUCGUUAACUAGUCAAGCAAAUUUGAACAACAUUUUAUGUUUAAUAACUUUCAAAUUCGAUAAAAAAAAUCCGUUCAAAUUUGAUUGAACGAAUAAACAAGUCAAAAUUGAAUUCAAUUUCAAAUUUGUUAAAAUAAUCAAAUAAAUUUAAGCACUAAGGCGUUCAAUUUGACUGUAUUUAUUUACACCCGUACUUAACCAUCCCACAAGCAAGUAUCGAAGUGGACUAAAUCACAAAAAUACAAAAUAAACCGGAUUUUGUAACAAGACCGCCUAAAAUAAGAUUAUUCCGUAAAAUGAGUGCGUGGACUUAACGCCUCAAUAAAACUUGACCCGGUAUACCUAAUAAGAGUGAAUGGCCCAAAAGAUCACUAAACUAUUAAAAAUGGCACCCUUUGAUCACCAAACUUUUUUUGUGGCCGAAAAGGUCACUAAACUCGCAAAAACUCUCCAGCGGAGCCAUUUUAUCGAAUUUCAGCGGUUUCUCAUCCGGUGGCAUGGGCAACGUGGAAUGGAGGAAUAUAGUCAAGGGGCAAAAAUGUCUGAAAGGUUAUUGGAAUAGGUGAAGCCAUAGAUUGUCUCAUUCCCAAACCACUUUUGAACCCAUAUAUUGACUUCGUCUUCUCCGGCGGUAAAAAUAGAGACUGUAAUUUAAAAUGAGAAACAGGGAAUGAUUAAAGGCGGUGGCAAUAAUUUAAGAGUAUUAUCGUUGAGCAUGAAGAGAGGGGGAUGGGGAUGAGGACAGGAAGUGAAUCAGUAAAAUCUGCUGCUUUGAAAUCAAAUUGAGAUUUCUCGUAUUUUAAGAGCUUGACUGAAGCUAUUGGAAGUGACUCAGGCUAUACUCCAAAGUUGUCUGGGCUGGGUCCCUCAGCCCAAUAGUUCGCUAGGGCGGUGCUCAGAUCAACACAAAUAAAAGAAGAAAACCCGUAUGCCGUGUAACUGGCUCGCUGACUAGCAGAAGGCUUUAUUCCUUUUCUUUUCUCGAAGAAUGGGAUAGCACAGCACUCCCUUCAACGGCUGCCCUCGGCAACCCACUGGUGACGGAUGGGAGCACACGGCUGCGGAAAUACAAAAAAAAAGUAUCAUUCUGUUCUUUUCUUUUUCUGUAAAAGAAAAAAAAACAUUUUUCUGGGUAAACAUUUUUUUUUUUGGCUGGGUGUAGUCAUUGGAACUGCCAAGACUCUUUCCAACUCAGCUAGGUGGCUGGCGAAGGAAAUCGAAGACUGAGCAAAUAAUGGGUAUGGCUCGAGAGACCAAAUUGAGAAAGCAGUGAUGAAACCUAUGGGCUCAAAGGGUCAUCGUCGUCGGAGUUGGAUGUUGGGUCGGGGUUAGUGGUGGGGCGGAUAGGGAUAGUAGGGAGGUCGGAAGUGACGAGACAGAGAGGAGAGUGAAUCUCGGUCACAACCAGUAAACUUCUACGCUGGGUCAAAUUGAAAAGUGAAGUGUUCCCAGCUAGUAAACUUCACCGGAGAAGAUGAAGUGAAUGUCGAUCGAUUGGUCAACUUUGGGAAUGAAACAAUCUGUGAGUUCACUUGCCCCAAUAAUCUUUUGGACAUUUUUGCCCAUAUCAGAAUAUUUAUUCAACUCAAGACCCUUGUAACCGGAUGAUUCACCGCUAAAAUUCGGUAAAAUGACUUCGCUGGUGCGUUUACGUGAGUUUAGUGACUUUUUUGGCUACAAAAAAAGUUUGAUGACCAAAGGGUGCCAUUUUAAAUAGUUAAGUGACCAUUUCGGCCAUUCACUCUACCUAUAAUUAACAGUUCAAGGCUUCAAGCAAUUUAUUAUUACUAUUUUUUUUUUCAAAAAGCCGCCAUUAAUCCUUUUUUUUUUUCCCUUUGGGUUCUUAUCUCAGCUAACUGAUAAUUAUGGACCAACCAACCUUUACCAUCACCCAAUCUCUAACAUUAUUUUGGGCCAACUAGCAAGAAGGCGUGACUGUUUUUUUUUUUUUUUUAUUAGUUGGAUGCAUGUGGCCUAAUGUGCACAUCCACCUCAGCACAUAAACAAUUGUAAGACUGAGGAACUCACCUCCCUACCUCCCAAAAUAAUAGAAAAAUAAUAUGUUUGUGGAAUAUAUUUAUAUUCCUUACUAGUAUUGCUAAAUAAUUCAAGACUAUGCGAAAUAUUAUUAUCUCGUAAUCACAGUUUAGUCAUAAGUGUGCAUCUAAAACUGUUGAACCAAAAGAGGGUACAUGGCAGGCUUCAUUGUUGAUAGUCCACCACUCGUAGCAAAGCACAAAGCAUCGUAAAAAGACCAAAGAGAAAGUGGGAUUUGUACGAUUUGAAGCUAAUAAACAAUAGCCACUGGUCAUUUGGUCUGGUGGUCAUCACCCUCCUUGGUAAUGUUGGAAGUCAGGGUUCAACCCUUACCUCUCACAAAUUUGCCAUUUUACGUUGCUGGUCUUCUGUUCUCACCGGAUAGCUCGAGCAGUCCGUUCCUCCUCCUUAGGGUAUGGCGACCUUCUUAACUUGGUUAAUAAACAAUAACCACUGGUCAUUUGGUCUGGUGGUCAUCACCCUCCUUGGUGAUGUUGGAAGUCAGGGUUGAACCCUUACCUCUCACAAAUUUGUCAUUUUGCGUUGCUGGUCUUCUGUUCUCACCGGAUAGCUCGAGCAGUCCGCUCCUCCUCCUUAGGGUAUGGCGACCUUCUUAACUUGGCUAAUAAACAAUAAUAAAAAGCCAAAUUUAAUGCUGGAAUUAUUGAUUGUACAAGCAAUUUUAUUAUUCUUCAUUGAAUGUCAUGAAAUUCCUCUAACAAACUUGUUAACAUUUGCCCCAAAUAAGAAGUUGGUCCCAUACAUUUAUAAUUUGAUUAUGAACAGGAUUUUUCUUGACUAGCAGCCGUUUAAUUGGUUCCAACUUCCAACUCUUAAGCAAUUGGAUGCAGACACCAACACUAAUAACUAUACGUGAAUAAUCAAUCUCCACCGGCACAACUUCAUCUGAAAUUAAACUAUUCCUGUUAUCCUUCCCAUUACGUUUAUGUUAUGAGAAUCUCUCCGCACUCAAAUUCCGGGAUUCCUAAACGGCUUUUCCUAAUGCUCGAAUUUGGUAUUCGAGGAUAUUAAUUGUGAGGAGAGGAGAAAAUUUGGUACUCCCUCCGUCCCACUUUGAUAGUCCUGUUUCUUUUUUCACACAGUUUAAGAAAAAGUAGUUAACUUUGUUGGAAAAGUAAAUUUAGAUUGCUAUUUUUCUAAAAUACCCUCACAUUAAAUAGAGUACAACUUUAUGGGAACUUGAAUUGAUGGUAAAAAAAGAAUAAACUCUCAUUAAAUGGGAUAGGUUUAUAGUAACAACUUACAUUGAAUAAGGGCAUUUUAGAAAAAUUAAAAUACAAUUACAUUCUUCAAUUGAAAAGUUGACUACAAUUUGGGACAGACGAAAAAGGAAAACAGGACUAUCAAAGUGGGACGGAGGGAGUAUUCGACAUCAUAUGUUUGGAUUUUCAAAAAAAUUUUUCGCUUGCAUCAUAAACGCAUUUCCCAAUUCACCUGUUAGGCCUUGUUUGGAAGUCAAGUUUGUUUGCUACAAGUUUUUUAAAAACUUUAGUUAUAGUAACCUCAAAAAAUUUUUCAAACUUUUUAAACUAUACAUUUCAAAAUAUUAAAGAAAACACACUUCAUAAAUUUUUUAAAAAACUUCUAUAAUAAGUUACAGUAAAGUUUUAAAUAAACACCUAAAAAACUCACAUUCCAAACGGGACAAUAUGAUUAAUUUUGAACCCAAAGGAGUCGUAGCCAAUCUAUGAUUGCUAGCUAGAAACAUUGAAGCUUUUUGGGUGCAACAACCACCAAGAAGCAUUAAGUUGUCGGUAUCCCUCUAAUCGCAAUAAUCAUCCAAUGACUUGAAAAUUAAUUUAUGUUUCUUAUUAGAAAGGAAAAUCCGAUGGAGAGUUCUACAACCCCUUUUGAGUAUUACAUACAUUGAUGAAAUUAAAUUUAUCAUUGAACUAGAAUAAGAUCUAUCAACUCUUAGAUAAUGUAGCUACUUAUGACAUUCUUUCUUUUUACCCGUUUGUUUAAGAAUCAUAUAGAACCAAGAGCAGAAGGCUGUUGCUAUGGAUCAUCACGAAGGCUGAAGCUACAAUCAAUGUAAAUGAACCGGUAUACUUCGAACGAACGAGGGACGAUAUUGUCCUGGUCCUGGUCUUGGCUUCAUUUCUAGUGGGUUGCCACUCUUGACCAGGCAACCCUGAGUCCAGAAAUGUCAACGAUCAGGGGGAGUUUUUUGUUUUUUGUUUUUUUUUGGGUCAAACGAUCAGGGGCAGUUGCGACUUGCGACGCCUUUUCCCGUGCAGGUUUUAUCCCCUUAGCAAGUGGCAACUUUCCCCUCCCAGCGGGGCAGCUGAUUACCGGGCAAUGAUUUCUAGAUUGUGAAUCGUCUUCAUUCUUGAACUGUACCUCCGAUCUUGUCCGGCAACUGCCAGAUAAAGACGGUGGGGUGUCAUUGACCACAUCAGACAAUUAAUCCCAACCGAAAUCAUUCAACUAGAUUUGCUCUAGCAGGGAAAUUGCAAAGAGAUUCAAGAAUAAGAAGUUUUGACCAAGAACACUACUACUAGUUCAUCAUGAUCAGAGUUACAAAAUGGUUGGAUUGUCAAUUCAAGAGGUAGAAAGAAAACUGAGGGAGGGCAAUAAAAGUAACUCUGUAACUAAUAUAUAAUAAAUAUUUGAAUUAGUAACCUUGAUUCAACAUAUCUCAAGAAGUGAAAAUUAGCAAUGUCAAGUUUGAUUCAAGUCUUUAUUUUAUCUUCACUCUAGACAAUUUGGUCUUCAUUUAAUCUAAUUUAGACAUUUUAGCCAACAUUUUUUGGGCUCCAGCAGAGAGACAAUUUUGAAAACUAGUCACGUUCUUCAAACAUAAAGUUGUGGAUAUCUGAUAGAUUCAAAUUAUGUGGUUCUGAAUAAGCUAUUUUCCGUUUGUCAACGCUGGAAACUUUAUGACACCCAUAAACCAUCCCAUUGAAGUUUUGAGUAAUGACUCAACCAUCCAUCCAAAUGUAUAUGUCUAUAUAUAUUAGUAGUAAGCCCAUCGGGGUGGGCUCGAUUGAUGUUGGAUAGCCUUAUUAGGUCCUGACACCGUGUGAUUGUGGUUCGAUUCCUUAUACUAUCUUGUGUAUCUUGGGAGAUGGGUGCACAAGUACAAAGAGAUUAGUUCGAAAUGAAUACUUUUGUGAUGACUGUAUAUAUAUAUAUUAGUAGUAGUAAAAUAAUAGGUUUAUUUAAGGAGAAGCAAGUGACAUAAGGUGGGCGUAGGAUUCAACAACCACAUGUGGGACCGGGCAACUCAUCGGGUGGGUGGGUGGGUGGGCGCAAGGCGUGGCUGUGCCGCUACACUGCAUGAAAUUGGAUUUUGACCCUCUUUCCCAAGAUCGGCUUCACCAUCAAGAAAUACACACUUGUCAAUUCUUAUAGCGCACUUUUUUCUUUUUUUUAGAAAAAAAAUUCUUACGACAAACUGCAACAUGUACUAUUGUUUGAGUAGUUAAAUUACCAAAUUUCAGAACCUUUGAAUCUCCACCCAAAAAAAAAAAAAAGAAAAAAACCAGAACCCUUCACUUGGAACAGCAUCUUCACCAAUCUAAUACUCAUCUUCAUCGAAAAAAUAUUGGCAUUCGAAUUAAACGAAGAGCUAUUAAUUUGGGUUGACGGUGAUUACCUAAUUUCAAUACCCACAUUUUAACAUUUAAGCCACUCAAGACCAGUCCUUACCAACUACACAAGUGCAUGCAACUCAAAAUCAAUUUGAAUCAAUUUUUGAUGAGCCAUGUGGAUAAGAGACUUGACAAUGAGAGAGUUUUUUUUUUUUUUCCUGAGCUUGACAAUGAGAGAGUUGGUGAGAUUCUUCUUGGGGCAAUUCCAAAUCCCUCAUUGGGAAUUAUAGUGGGUAUCUGGUCUUUUGCUUGAAGCGCCCUAGGUCACCAUCUCACCAACCUCCGUGCUACCCACAACCGUUGGCCAUUUUCUCCGUUUAGUGAUUUUUUUUUAAAUAAAAAAUUUGUGUGGGUUUGACUUCAAUUAUCGACACGGAUUAAUGCAUAUUGUCCCCGGAAUCAUAAGUUACGUCUUACACAUUACCCACCAAUACAAUUGUAGGUAUUUCAUUUAUCUCAGAUCAGAAAACACCUUGUUUAACCAAAUCUAGAAGAUAUCUCGGACUAAUUUGCUUUUGCCAGAACCCCACUUGGGAUGACCUAUUUAUCUGAAGUAUUAAUAGUCUCGACUUAUCUCUAUGACAUAACUGAUGAUUGAUAUGACAGUUAACCACUCUAUAAUUCAACCCUAUUGCUGACAUUGCUGUUAUGUCUUAUUUUACGUGGUCAGAUUAUCAGUAGACCUCAUCAUUUCACUCUCUAGAUCCUCUAGUAUAAAUAUUGGGAUCUUGCUCACUUGAGAGGCAUGCACUUUAACUCAUCCAAUAUAACUCUCGACAACUACUGAUUUAAGUAUCAAAGUAAAAUCGAGGGAUUUAACCCUAACUACUCCUUAUUUUGCAGGUGAACUAGUCUGACGUUUGGCCUCGGUUCGGCUCGCUAGUCCCUGCUCGCACAACAACCUUCACUUCGGCGGCGGAAAUUCGUUCUUAUUAAUUGAACCAACUUGUGUUAGCCCCUUUAGCGUGUGCAUGUAUGUUUUUUCUUUCUUUUCUUGUUUUUUAAUUAAUAUUUGUUUGGUUACGGCCACUUUCUCCGUCACUCACAACCAUGUUUUCUUUCUUUUUCUCUCUAUCGUUGACGGAUUUUAGGAGUUAGUACUAAAAAACUAUUUUCCCAUUUAAUUUAUGCAAUCUCUUUUAGUUGGGCCAUUGAUUUGUUGUGCGGCGAACCCGUCAAUAACUUUCUUGUAGUGGGGUUACAAGUAAGCUUUCUUAGGCGCGGUAGGUAAGUCCCCCAAAACAAAUUAUAUAGUCCCCCUACGGUCUCGCACUCUUUAACAUUUUUUUCCCGUUUUGUUAGGACGCAGAUCAGAUUCAUUUCGAUUAAAGUCCAACCCACUUCGAACAACACCAUACCUACAACAUCAUUGUCCUUACCACUUCUCCCAUUAGCCAGCCUGCCACCUCCUCCUCCUCCUCCUCCUCUUCCUUUUUGAAUUUCUUAUCCCACCACCCAACAUUCUUCUUCCUUCUCAACUCUUCAGGUACGUUUAAUGCAAAUUUCACGUAAUAUUUCACGUUCGAAAUCCAUUCUUCAUCACCAUUAAACUAAUCAAAGUAUGUUUAUUGCACCAUUUUCUUUUAUGUUUUUUGGGGUACAGUUGUUGUACGUGUCAAGCAAGGAUCAUACAACUUUCAACCAUGAAAAUCGAGGUGAAGGAAUCGACUAUGGUGAGACCUGCCCAAGAAACUCCUAGGAGGAACUUGUGGAACUCGAACGUGGACUUGGUGGUGCCAAAUUUCCACACCCCUAGCGUCUACUUCUAUAGGCCGACGGGAUCAUCGAAUUUCUUUGAUGCCAAAGUGCUGAAGGACGCUUUGAGCCGAGCCCUUGUCCCGUUCUACCCAAUGGCUGGUAGGUUAAAGAGAGACGAAGAUGGGCGGAUUGAGAUUGAGUGCAAUGGUGAAGGCGUGCUUUUCGUGGAGGCCGAGUCUGAUGGAGUAGUUGAUGAUUUCGGUGACUUUGCACCAACUUUAGAGCUUCGUAGACUCAUUCCUGCAGUUGAUUAUUCUCAAGGAAUAUCAAGCUACGCUCUCCUAGUGCUGCAGGUAUGCUAACUCCUUUUCAUCUUUUUUUUUUUCCGAUCAAUUUUGUAUAAAUAUAUCUGAUAAUUCGUGACUAAUUAACCUGGAUAUAUGAAUAUCCUAGUCAUAAAAUUGUGUUCACUGGUUCAAAUAAGAUAUACGUUAAUCAUCAGCUUGUGCAACAAAUCAUGGAGUUUUGCUUAAUUUAUGAGUUAAGUACUUAUUUUUAUUUGAUUACGUUCUUAGCCCUUAGGAAUUAAUGCAUUACUAAUACUUUAUGCGCUACUGCAUGGACAGAUUAAUUAUCUUUUGUUUUAGUUAUUCGUCAAAUACUUUUUUUUUUUCUCGACUCUUGAACAGUUGCACGUUAGACUUAUGAGCUCAUACGAUGUGAAAGCUUUACCUACCCUGACAAAACACAAAAGUCUGUGGAGGUUGAAUUAAACUAACAAUCAAUAAAUUUUUUUUUUUUUUGGGAAGUUUUAUGUUGAUGAAAGCAAGGUGAUCUAAACUCUGACAACGAAAUCUGGGCGUAGAUUAGACUUUAGAGCAAAACAUGUCAACUUCAUUUGGCGUGGAGAUUCAAACCUUGUACUAGUAAGUUUGUUUAGGUACUAAUUUCAGAUAUCAAGAGAAACUAAGCUAGUAAAACUUUACUCCCUCCGUUCCAUUUAUUUAGUUAUGUUUAGGGAAUCAAAUUUUUUUAAAAAUAAUGGUUUGAUUGUGAUGUUUUUUUUUUUUCAAUUUUAUCUCUACAAAUUUAAAAUAUAAAUUUGAAUGGUAACAUGUAUAUAAUUAGAAAGAAUAACUAUAUUGAAAAGAGAGACCAAAAGGUGUUUUGACUUUUCUAAUAUGAUAAUUAUUUUAAAACAUCGCAAAAUGAAAGGUACGACACUUUUAAUGUGACAGAAGGAGUAUAAGUAAGAGUAGUUGGUGAAGUCGUUUUCCUUUUGGCUUUUUUCUUUUGAAGGGUGUAUUAUAUGGCUUUGGCACCUUUUUUUUUUUUAUAGCUUGUAUUAUUGCCUAGACCAAUUUUUUUUAGGUCGAUUAAGCUUUACACAAGUGGUCUCAAGAUUGGAUGGUUUCACUAGGAAUUGUCAUUACUAGAUUAUUACCAUAUUCUUCUUGUUCUUUUCUUUUUGUUAAACGAAGCUAAAGGAAUAUGUGCCUCAUACGCUUACAGUUUUAGCAUCUGUUUAUCCUCCAAUAGGCAUUUUAUUUUUCAGUGAAUGAAGUGACUUGCCGAGGAGAGAUUUUGUUUUUUUCACCUCAACCCUAUUCUUAAAACGCCAAAUGGAAAGAAAAAGAUUCAUACUACUUUAUUAACCGACAACCUUUUUCGACUUCUGUAAUUGACAUUAUUACUUCUUUUUUUUUUUUUUUUGUAAGCAACAUUAUGAAUUCUGUGAUUAGCUAUCUUUUUGGUAAAUACAUCUCAGCCUGUUAGCUUCCCAGCUGCCAUGUAGGAGCCUUGAAUAAUCGGGUUGGUUGAGUUGGUGACAUAAUUUAUUAUCACUAGGUAUUGGUUGGAGUUGGUCAAUUUUGAUCUUGAUCGGUGACGGUGCUCAAAUUGAAGGAAAAAAAAAUCAGCUAACACUUCUGACAGCGCAUCAUAAUUUAUUUUGUCAAAUUUAGAUAUAUAGACACUAUAAUAUAGAUUUAUAGACAUUAUCAUAAUUAGAUGGGGUGGAAUAUAUGUCCAGUUAAUUUGGAAAUUGUGGACCAUCUAAUUCGUUCAAUUACAAACCUAUUUAGUAAGUCCAAUAAUGGUACAAGUAUUAAUGCGUUAUUAUUACAUUCACCUACCAGCCUACCAUUUAAGUAUUGAUACGUAACUAUUUAUUUCAUGAGGAACGGGUUGGGUGAUUCGGGAUAGGGAGUGUGAUUGAGAGGUCUCGAAUUUGAACGUUCCUGCUUGUAUUAAAAAAAAUUAAAAAAAUAUUAUACAUGUGUUUAUCUAAAUUAGACGUACACACAAUUAAUUUAGACACUUUUUAUAAUUUUAUUUUGUUUUGUAUUAAAAGAUUAAUAUCUGAAUCUCCUCUUUGGACAAACAGCUAUAUACUAGCCUUUCUAGUAAAAUUUGUGAGUUGAAACACUGAAUUCAGGUUAUGAUUUCAUACUGGGUUAGGUUGUGCUGGAAUCAUACGCACUAGGUAGCAUGUAGCAGGAUGAGAAGAGCUACACUUGUAGGUUGUUGCUAGUGAUCGAAUUCCUGUUAAGAAGAGAAUGCAGAAAAGACUAACAUGCCUUUGUUAAUUUCGAUUUGCUAUGGCUAAUAAUGUUAGUUAGCUCAUGAGAUUCUUGAUUGUAACUUUGGAUCAGGUGACAUAUUUCAAGUGUGGUGGAGUCUCUCUUGGUGUUGGCAUGCAACAUCAUGCAGCUGAUGGAUUUUCAGGUCUUCAUUUCAUCAAUUCAUGGUCUGAUAUGGCCCGUGGCCUUGAUGUGACCCUGCCACCAUUCAUAGACCGCACCCUCCUCCGUGCCCGCGAUCCGCCCCAGCCUCAAUUCCAGCACAUUGAGUACCAACCCCCUCCAACCUUAAAAGUUUCCCCGCAAACUGCAAAAUCUGACUCAGUUCCUGAAACUGCAGUGUCCAUCUUCAAGUUAACCAGGGAGCAAAUCAGUGCCCUGAAAGCCAAGUCCAAGGAAGAUGGAAACACCAUUAGCUAUAGCUCCUACGAAAUGUUGGCAGGCCAUGUAUGGCGCUGUGCUUGCAAGGCACGAGGACUCGAAGUUGAUCAAGGAACAAAAUUGUACAUUGCUACUGAUGGACGAGCAAGACUUAGGCCUUCGCUCCCGCCUGGCUAUUUUGGCAAUGUCAUCUUCACGGCAACCCCGAUAGCUAUAGCUGGUGACCUUGAAUUCAAGCCAGUCUGGUAUGCUGCAAGUAAAAUCCACGAUGCAUUGGCGAGGAUGGACAACGACUACUUAAGGUCAGCUCUUGAUUACUUGGAAUUACAGCCUGAUUUGAAGGCCCUGGUUCGUGGUGCCCAUACUUUCAAGUGUCCAAAUCUGGGGAUCACAAGCUGGGUAAGGUUACCCAUCCAUGAUGCUGAUUUUGGCUGGGGUCGGCCCAUAUUUAUGGGUCCUGGUGGUAUCGCUUAUGAAGGUUUAAGCUUUAUAUUGCCUAGUCCAACCAAUGAUGGAAGCAUGUCAGUAGCUAUUUCAUUGCAGGGCGAGCACAUGAAACUCUUCCAGAGUUUCUUGUAUGACAUUUGAACGGGAGCACAUCACAUGAAUUUUCACGCUUGUAUUAAUAGCUUUCGGGUCCGGGCCAGCUAUUCAUGCGGUGGUGGUUUCUUGAGUAAUUGUUUAAGCUUAUGAAGAACCACUGUUCUGUUUUGUACCUACGUGGACAAUAAUUCUUGUCUAAGUUCCUUGUGCAUGUAAUGAUGAUGAAAGGAUAAGGUUCAUUUCAUUUUAUUGUUUUGUCAUUUAAGUUCUAAAGCUGUAAUCUUUCUAACUUCACAAAUUCGUUAGUUAUUGUUUCUUUUUUAGUAUUUGAUGAAUUUAGGACGGUUGAUGAGAUGAAAAUAUUCUGUCCAAAUGUGCAGGCUUGGCCAAGUAAUGUCUGAAGAAAUUUUAAGCUGAAUUACCAAUCAGCGAAGGAUCAAGUGUUGUAUGGUUCCGCAGUUAAGAUUUUGACCAAAGAAUUAGCAAAACCAUCCCUCGAAUUCGCAUCUAUGGGUGCGACAGGAAAAAAAGAAAAAGAAGAAGAACUCCAAACCAGUGGCAUAACCAACAUUCAUAUGAAAAAAUUGGAGAUGAGCCAAAAUUAAGAGCUCAUGCGACAGUCUGCUCAAGGAAGAAACUUAGUAGUCCAAAUCAUAAAUAGCUGAAGACAGAGAAGUGGUGGAAACUUCUGUGGUUAUACUCCAGGGAGCAUUUAGGCAACGAGAUGAGGUAAAAUAAGAAGCAAAAAUAAGCCAAACGGGCUUUCUAGGACUGAUGCUGCAGCCUUCUCACCAGGCCUUCGAUGGACUACAUUUGCACCGCCAUAGGUUCCCCUCC
rnacentral:lncRNA from 1 species